rnacentral:rRNA from 1 species
UGAGGAAUAUUGGUCAAUGGACGCAAGUCUGACCCAGCCAAAUCGCGUGAAGGAUGACUGCCCUACGGGUUGUAAACUUCUUUUAUAAGGGAAUAAAAAAGACUACGUGUAGUUUAUUGCAUGUACCUUAUGAAUAAGCAUCGGCUAACUCCGUGCCAGCAGCCGCGGUAAUACGGAGGAUGCGAGCGUUAUCCGGAUUUAUUGGGUUUAAAGGGUGCGCAGGCGGAUUUUUAAGUCAGCGGUGAAAUCUUGAGGCUCAACCUCAAACCUGCCGUUGAAACUGUUAAUCUUGAGUAUGGAUGAAGUAGGCGGAAUUCGUUGUGUAGCGGUGAAAUGCUUAGAUAUAACGAGGAACCCCGAUUGCGUAGGCAGCUUACUAAACCAUAACUGACGCUCAUGCACGAAAGUGUGGGUAUCCAACA